GUAAGGAAUAUUGGACAAUGGACGCAAGUCUGAUCCAGCCAUGCCGCGUGAAGGAUUAAGGUCCUCUGGAUUGUAAACUUCUUUUAUAAGGGACGAAAAAAGGCUUUUCUAAGUCGUCUGACGGUACCUUAUGAAUAAGCACCGGCUAACUCCGUGCCAGCAGCCGCGGUAAUACGGAGGGUGCAAGCGUUAUCCGGAUUCACUGGGUUUAAAGGGUGCGUAGGCGGGCAGGUAAGUCAGUGGUGAAAUCCUAGAGCUUAACUCUAGAACUGCCAUUGAUACUAUCUGUCUUGAAUAUUGUGGAGGUAAGCGGAAUAUGUCAUGUAGCGGUGAAAUGCUUAGAUAUGAUAUAGAACACCUAUUGCGAAGGCAGCUUACUACGCAUAUAUUGACGCUGAGGCACGAAAGCGUGGGGAUCAAACAGGAUUAGAUACCCGAGUAGUCC
rnacentral:rRNA from 1 species